rnacentral:rRNA from 1 species
ACUCCUACGGGAGGCAGCAGUGGGGAAUAUUGGACAAUGGGCGCAAGCCUGAUCCAGCCAUGCCGCGUGAGUGAUGAAGGCCCUAGGGUUGUAAAGCUCUUUCACCGGUGAAGAUAAUGACGGUAACCGGAGAAGAAGCCCCGGCUAACUUCGUGCCAGCAGCCGCGGUAAUACGAAGGGGGCUCGCGUUGUUCGGAUUUACUGGGCGUAAAGCGCACGUAGGCGGACUAUUAAGUCAGGGGUGAAAUCCCGGGGCUCAACCCCGGAACUGCCUUUGAUACUGGUAGUCUUGAGUUCGAGAGAGGUGAGUGGAAUUCCGAGUGUAGAGGUGAAAUUCGUAGAUAUUCGGAGGAACACCAGUGGCGAAGGCGGCUCACUGGCUCGAUACUGACGCUGAGGUGCGAAAGCGUGGGGAGCAAACAGGAUUAGAUACCCGUGUAGUCCCAUG